UACGAAGGGGGCUAGCGUUGUUCGGAAUUACUGGGCGUAAAGCGUGCGCAGGCGGCCAUCCAAGUCAGUGGUGAAAGCCCGGAGCUCAACUCCGGAAUUGCCAUUGAAACUGUUUGGCUCGAGUACGAGAGAGGUGAGUGGAAUUCCCAGUGUAGAGGUGAAAUUCGUAGAGAUCGGGAAGAACAUCAGUGGCGAAGGCGGUCUGCUGGGCCGUUGCUGACGCUGAGGCGCGACAGCGUGGGGAGCAAACAGG
rnacentral:rRNA from 1 species